rnacentral:siRNA from 1 species
GGAUUGAAGGGAGCUCUA